rnacentral:rRNA from 1 species
AUUGAACGCUGGCGGCAUGCCUUACACAUGCAAGUCGAACGGUAACGGGCCUUCGGGUGCCGACGAGUGGCGCACGGGUGAGUAAUACAUCGGAACGUGCCCGAUCGUGGGGGAUAACGAGGCGAAAGCUUUGCCAAUACCGCAUACGAUCUACGGAUGAAAGCAGGGGACCGCAAGGCCUUGCGCGGACGGAGCGGCCGAUGGCAGAUUAGGUAGUUGGUGGGAUAAAAGCUUACCAAGCCGACGAUCUGUAGCUGGUCUGAGAGGAUGAUCAGCCACACUGGGACUGAGACACGGCCCAGACUCCUACGGGAGGCAGCAGUGGGGAAUUUUGGACAAUGGGCGCAAGCCUGAUCCAGCCAUGCCGCGUGCAGGAUGAAGGCCUUCGGGUUGUAAACUGCUUUUGUACGGAACGAAAAGCCUUCUUUUAAUACAGGAGGGUCAUGACGGUACCGUAAGAAUAAGCACCGGCUAACUACGUG